rnacentral:rRNA from 1 species
UACGGGGGGGGGUAAGCGUUGUUCGGAAUUACUGGGCGUAAAGGGCUCGUAGGCGGCCAACUAAGUCAGACGUGAAAUCCCUCAGCUUAACUGGGGAACUGCGUCUGAUACUGGAUGGCUUGGAUUCGGGAGAGGAAUGCGGAAUUCCGGGUGUAGCGGUGAAAUUCGUAGAUAUCGGGAGGAACACCAGUGGCGAAGGCGACCACCUGGACUGAUACUGACACUGAGGUGCGAAAGCGUGGGGAGCAAACAGG